ACAUUCCAUAGUUGCAACAAAUUUAACAUCAUGUAUAGAUAUCAGCACUUCAUUUCGUUUGUCAUCUUAUUGACAAGUAUUUUAAUACCAACCGAGUCGUUAUCUUGCGAACCGGCGUCCUUUAAAUGUUUAUCAAAUCCACGUCUGUAUGUUAUCGACGGUAGUAUUCAAGUGUGCCCUAAUUCACAAAUUUGCAACGAACAGAAAACAAUUUCAUGCGAUCCGUGUAUUGAUGCAAACAUCUCGAAUGAUUUAACAAAACCAAGAAUUCUUGGACCGGAUUGUAAUGAUGGUUUUGGAUCGUCAGAUCCAUGCAGACCAGGUGAACCUGGCAGUGGAUAUUAUUAUAAAUGUAUUAGAAUUGGAAAUAGUUACACUUAUGUAAGACGUCGUUGUUUUUGGAAGUGUUUAGAUGUGUGUUAUAGAAAUCCUGUGAUUUGUCAAUGAAAUUUUAUAUUAUUUUAAGUUUACAGCUUGUAAUUGUAAUGAAAUAAAAUAAUAAAUCAUAAAAUCUAACAUAA